rnacentral:rRNA from 1 species
AGCGAACGCUGGCGGCGUGCUUAACACAUGCAAGUCGAACGAUGAAGCCGGAGCUUGCUCUGGUGGAUUAGUGGCGAACGGGUGAGUAACACGUGAGUAACCUGCCCUUGACUCUGGGAUAAGCGUUGGAAACGACGUCUAAUACCGGAUACGAGCUGGGACCGCAUGGUCACCAGCUGGAAAGAACCUCGGUCAAGGAUGGACUCGCGGCCUAUCAGUUAGUUGGUGAGGUAACGGCGCACCAAGACGACGACGGGUAGCCGGCCUGAGCGGGUGAACAGCCACACUGGGACUGAGACACGGCCCAGACUCCUACGGGAGGCAGCAGUGGGGAAUAUUGCACAAUGGGCGCAAGCCUGAUGCAGCAACGCCGCGUGAGGGACGACGGCCUUCGGGUUGUAAACCUCUUUUAGUAGGGGAGAAGCGAAAGUGACGGUACCUGCAGAAAAAGCACCGGCUAACUACGUGCCAGCCGCCGCGGUAACAC